UUGAUUUUUUUCUUGUUUGUUUUUGGAGUUUAGUUGAACUAUUUAAGGCUGUAUUUGCCUGAUCUUACUAAAAGUGAGGUUUUCUUAGGCAUGCGCGAGAAGGAAUGCAUCAUUGCCUGAAUUUGGAGGCACAGCUGCUGGACUUGUCAAGCAGAGUCUUGUGCUUGAAUUUUCCAGAUUAAUUCAAGAGAUCUGCUUUCUGUGGCUUUGGACAUCAGUGUCGGACAGAUAUCGAGUGCCUUGGCUCCUGGACUUUGGUAGCUGGGGAUUAUUUUUCUUUUCAUUUUCAUUUUUGAACUUUUAUUUUCAUUUUGAAUAUUUUCAGUUUUAACUGUUUAAAUGCUAAGUGGUAUUUGAUGUAAUUUUCGUUCCUAAAACUGGCUGUUACUAGUCCACAAUCUAGGGCUUUAUUUUCUGUACCUCAAGUGGGUAGCACUUUGGGAUUACAUGAUAAUGUAAUUUAUGGGGAAUUCACAUUUGUAUUUUAUGCUGAAAUUGGGCAAGACUGUUUUAUCCAAGCACCAGGUACACAGAUGAUACUUUAAAUGUUAGAUAACUAUUAAUAACAUAAAUCCAAAUCAAAUGGAGGCAAAAUUGAUCUCAUACAGGUUAUGAGUUUUAUUUGGGUUAAGAAGUGCCCCCCUUCCAGUGAAAGAAAGGAACAAGGUGUGCUGUUAUUUACAAGUUGCCAGAGUAAGGAUGUUUCUGUGUUCCAAAGAAGAGGUCCUCAAGUGACUUGAAAAUAAAGUCUUUUGGUUUUGUGUAAGAAUGAUCCUGAGACAUUCCCCUGUCAAAAUUUGAAAUAUGGUAAUUCAGUGAUAAGUAUCUCUCCUAAAGCAACCAUGAGCCCUCCCCCCUUCCUUCUCCUAACUCACCCCACCCUUUUUGCCGGGGGCACUGGUUGCAAACCCCCAGCUAACACACCUGGGGUAAGCACCCUGCCCCUCAUAUUCAGAAGGCAAGUCCUCACCUGCAUGCAGAGAUCCUGCUUACCCUUGAAAGGACCUACUUGCCUGACUUCAGUGAUGAAGACUGUCCCUUGUUGGCGAUCUAAAGACCUUGCCUUUCUGCUGUUUAUCCCUGCCCCUGACACCCCUUCUCCGUUCAGCCCAGUCUGCCUGUGAUUCUCUCAGAUGACCUCGAGAGACACAUUGAUAGACUCCUCUUCUUUGUUCCUAGUUCACUGUCUGUCUAGGCCUCCACACUUCAGAGGCUGCCAGGCUCCCUAAUUAGAGUCCUGACCGCAGCCUGACCUGUACCUUUGACUUCACAUCACUCCUGGUUAUGACGAUAAUCCCCAGUCUUCACGUCCUUUUCACUUGCCCAAAAGUCCCAACUUCCUGUCACUGUGCAGUAAUGCUGUGGUUUGAGAGUGGGGAAGCAACUCUGCUUUUGUUUCAUAUUUAUUUCCCAAAAUGUCCUGGGGCACUUUUGCAAAUUGGGUGCAAUAAAUAAGCUGAACUAUAUAAAAUAUGUAAUAAAUAAGCUUUCAAUGUUUCUUGAAAGAUGUUUCUUGGAAGUAUGAGGGUAGGCUUUUAAAAAGCUAUUCUUGUUAUAGGAGAUCUAAUGAGAAAUAAUGGCACUAUGUAAUUCUCCAGAAAUUAAGCUGAGUCGAUGAAAUUUAUCUCUAAGAUUUAAUUUUAAUGGUGAUAAAAAUGAUAUUUUUUUAAAGAUGUAAGUUUUGAACUGCUUUGUAGUGUUUGAUCUUUACAUAUCAUUUGCUUUUUAAAAACAAAUAUAACUUGUGGUCAUUUGGAUACGAAUGGAUUUUAUGUGCUCCCUUUUUCAGAGGUACCCAUCUUGUGGGUCUUCUCUUCCAAAGGACAGUGAUUGUAAACCUUGGUUGUCUUUUUAAAUUCCUCCACUGGAUGCAGGCCCAGUGGCUCUUUGCUGGGGGCGGGGGCUGUAGCUAAUUGUCUCUCCCUACAAGAUUACUGAAAUUGGAGGUAAGAAGUUACAGAUACAAUGGGAUCUUACCUAUCAUGGGAUCUCACAGGGUUACCUGAAGACUGUUUGGCAGCUUAUCUUACUUUCCUGAAGUGGGACAACACAUCAGGGACAAGCAGUUUAUACUGGGCAUGGUUGUAAGUUGCAAAGUUGUGAAUGUUUUUACAGUUGUGUUGAUCGGUUCGGAGAGAUAGCUGGGUGUGUGGGGCCUUGAGGAAUGCAGCUGUGAUGAUGUUUCAUUUUUACCUCAAUGUGAAUGUAGAAUUGGGGACUCAUCUUCAUUUUAUGCCUAAAAGUGCCUUGUCAAGAAAUUUCUGCAUGUUUUUUAAAAAUAAAUAUUUUUAUAAACAAAGUUAAAGGGGAAAUGCACUUUAAAAAUCACAAGAAUGGCUG
rnacentral:lncRNA from 1 species